AACCUAGCGGCGGACGGGUGAGUAACACGUAGGCAACCUGCCCACAAGACAGGGAUAACUACCGGAAACGGUAGCUAAUACCCGAUACAUCCUUUUCCUGCAUGGGAGAAGGAGGAAAGACGGAGCAAUCUGUCACUUGUGGAUGGGCCUGCGGCGCAUUAACUAGUUGGUGGGGUAAAGGCCUACCAAGGCGACGAUGCGUAGCCGACCUGAGAGGGUGAUCGGCCACACUGGGACUGAAACACGGCCCAGACUCCUACGGGAGGCAGCAGUAGGGAAUCUUCCGCAAUGGGCGAAAGCCUGACGGAACAACGCCGCGUGAGUGAUGAAGGUUUUCGGAUCGUAAAGCUCUGUUGCCAGGGAAGAACGUCUUGUAAAGUAACUGCUACAAGAGUGACGGUACCUGAAAAGAAAGCCCCGGCUAACUACGUGCCAGCAGCCGCGGUAAUACGUAGGGGGCAAGCGUUGUCCGGAAUUAUUGGGCGUAAAGCGCGCGCAGGCGGCUCUUUAAGUCUGGUGUUUAAUCCCGAGGCUCAACUUCGGGUCGCACUGGAAACUGGGGAGCUUGAGUGCAGAAGAGGAGAGUGGAAUUCCACGUGUAGCGGUGAAAUGCGUAGAUA
rnacentral:rRNA from 1 species